AAGACACUAGUAAAACCGUUAUUACACUACCUUGUCAAGGUAGACUUGUGGGUUAAAGCCCCGCGUGUCUUA
rnacentral:tRNA from 1 species